rnacentral:rRNA from 1 species
AGGAUGAACGCUGGCGGCGUGCCUAACACAUGCAAGUCGAACGGAGUAGCAAUACUUAGUGGCGGACGGGUGAGUAACGCGUGAGAAUCUACCUUCAGGACGGAGACAACAGUUGGAAACGACUGCUAACCCCCGAUGUACUGAAAAGGCAAAUAUUUAUAGCCUGAAGAAGAGCUCGCGUCCGAUUAGCUAGUUGGAGAGGUAAAAGCUCACCAAGGCGACGAUCGGUAGCUGGUCUGAGAGGACGAUCAGCCACACUGGGACUGAGACACGGCCCAGACUCCUACGGGAGGCAGCAGUGGGGAAUUUUUCCGCAAUGGGCGAAAGCCUGACGGAGCAAGACCGCGUGGGGGAAGAAGGCUCUUGGGUUGUAAACCCCUUUUUCUCUGGGAAGAACACAAUGACGGUACCAGAGGAAUCAGCAUCGGCUAACUCCGUGCCAGCAGCCGC